rnacentral:rRNA from 1 species
AUGCAAAGAAAAAACCUCGUGUUCUUUUUGAAAAAAAAUAAGAAGCCAAAGUCAAGCACAGCACUUGUUAUCCAAGAUAAAAUCACAAAGAUAGCUGAAUUCGCCGCUUCUUUUACUUCAAUGAAGCAAGGAGAGGUGACAAUCAAGGAAGUCAUGGAUAUGGUCUUGGUAUGUGGGGCCGUACACGGUUCCGAUGAGCAUGAUAUUGCCACACAGUUAUUUGUGAAGAAGGACCAACGGGAAAUGUUCAAGACCCUUCCUAAAGAGUUUAGGUUCAAUUGGCUUAAGAGGAGAUACAACGACAAGUAUGGAAAUUGA